rnacentral:rRNA from 1 species
CCUACGGGUGGCAGCAGUGGGGAAUAUUGCACAAUGGGGGAAACCCUGAUGCAGCGACGCCGCGUGAGUGAAGAAGUAUUUCGGUAUGUAAAGCUCUAUCAGCAGGGAAGAAAAUGACGGUACCUGAUUAAGAAGCCCCGGCUAACUACGUGCCAGCAGCCGCGGUAAUACGUAGGGGGCAAGCGUUAUCCCGAUUUACUGGGUGUAAAGGGGGGGUAGACGGCAGCACAAGUCUGGAGGGAAAUGCCGGGGCUUAACCCCGGAACUGCUUUGGAAACUGUGCAGCUAGAGUGCAGGAGAGGUAAGUGGAAUUCCUAGUGUAGCGGUGAAAUGCGUAGAUAUGAGGAGGAACACCAGUGGCGAAGGCGGCUUACCGGACUGUAACUGACGUUGAGGCUCGAAAGCGUGGGGAGCAAACAGGAUUAGAUACCCGUGUAGUC